rnacentral:rRNA from 1 species
UACAGAGGGGGCAAGCGUUGUUCGGAAUUACUGGGCGUAAAGGGCGCGUAGGCGGCCUGUUAAGUCGAACGUGAAAUCCCCGGGCUCAACCCGGGAACUGCGUCCGAUACUGGCAGGCUUGAAUUCGGGAGAGGGAUGUGGAAUUCCAGGUGUAGCGGUGAAAUGCGUAGAUAUCUGGAGGAACACCGGUGGCGAAGGCGGCUUACUGGGGCCUUUCUGACGCUGAGGAACGAAAGCUAGGGGAGCGAACGGG